rnacentral:lncRNA from 1 species
AUCGUUGGAGUGGCAUUUCCGUUUGUACAGUGAAGAAAUGAGUUACAAGUAAUAAAUAAAAGCGACUUUUGUUAGAUUUCUUUUAACCUACAAUCUACUGAAAUUAAACCCGUUGUUAUCCUGCGACGGAGAGCGAAAUGAACACCCGACGGUGCAUCUUGUGAACAACUUUGAAGCGGAUCUCCUUCCAGCCACAACCCAGCACUGGGAAACACCCAUUCACUCUCUCAAACAGCAGUCAGACAGAUACAGCAAUGAAGUGAAUGAAGAAGCUAUUCACUUCAGAGUCAAAAAACCAAGGUUCUUCUGCAUAUUUCAUAUUCACCAUUAUUGUCAGGCAGAAGCAUCGUGUACUGUACAUCACACUUGCUUUGACAAUGCAAUGAAGAUGAUCCUUUUGCAGACUUACAUUUCUGGAACUGUUCUUCGCCAGACUUCAACCCCAUCAUCAGGGUCAACUCCUCUCUGUGUUUCAAGUCAGCCAAUGUACUUGUCAAUCUACAGUACAGACUGGUAACAACGGGAAAGCCAUCCAUGAGGUGCCUGAAGCCAUUGACUUGCAUUUCAUGAAUCACCAAGCACCACGGAUGCAGCAAAAAAUCUUCUUUAAUGUUCUACUGCAGUGAAACGUCGUCUCAUCUUAGUUGGCCUGAGGCUUUGAGACUGUUGACUCUGGAAGUGCUGCUGGCAUGUGCCCACCUUCACUCGAAAGGUCAGACAUCUCACAGCCAUGCAUUCAAACAGUCAUCUCUCGUCGUGCUUCUCCACGAAUUUGCUGUUUCAUUGUCAGAAUGA